GAUGAACGCUGGCGGCGUGCCUAAUACAUGCAAGUCGAGCGAACAGAUAAGGAGCUUGCUCCUUUGACGUUAGCGGCGGACGGGUGAGUAACACGUGGGUAACCUAUCUAUAAGACUGGAAUAACUCCGGGAAACCGGGGCUAAUGCCGGAUAACAUGUUGAACCGCAUGGUUCUACAGUGAAAGGCGGCUUUGCUGUCACUUAUAGAUGGACCCGCGCCGUAUUAGCUAGUUGGUGAGGUAACGGCUCACCAAGGCAACGAUACGUAGCUGACCUGAGAGGGUGAUCGGCCACACUGGAACUGAGACACGGUCCAGACUCCUACGGGAGGCAGCAGUAGGGAAUCUUCCGCAAUGGGCGAAAGCCUGACGGAGCAACGCCGCGUGAGUGAUGAAGGUCUUCGGAUCGUAAAACUCUGUUAUUAGGGAAGAACAAAUGCGUAAGUAACUGUGCGCGUCUUGACGGUACCUAAUCAGAAAGCCACGGCUAACUACGUG
rnacentral:rRNA from 1 species